rnacentral:rRNA from 1 species
GUGGGGAAUAUUGGACAAUGGGCGCAAGCCUGAUCCAGCAAUGCCGCGUGCAGGAAGAAGGCCUUCGGGUUGUAAACUGCUUUUGUACGGAACGAAACGGUCCUGGUUAAUACCUGGGGCUAAUGACGGUACCGUAAGAAUAAGCACCGGCUAACUACGUGCCAGCAGCCGCGGUAAUACGUAGGGUGCGAGCGUUAAUCGGAAUUACUGGGCGUAAAGCGUGCGCCGGCGGGGCUGUAAGACAGGCGUGAAAUCCCCGGGCUCAACCUGGGAAUUGCGCUUGUGACUGCAGUGCUGGAGUACGGCAGAGGGGGAUGGAAUUCCGCGUGUAGCAGUGAAAUACGUAGAUAUGCGGAGGAACACCGAUGGCGAAGGCAGUCCCCUGGGCCUGUACUGACGCUCAUGCACGAAAGCGUGGGGAGCAAACAGGAUUAGAAACCCGGGUAGUCC